CACAGAGAACCAAUAAAGCGCUCGUUUUCUGUUAUUUCAAGCUGGAAUAAAUUGACAGAAAUCACACUUCGCUAUCUGUUUCUCACUUAGAUAUUGAAAAUCCGCACUUGUCAAGGUAGGCGGGGUACGGACCCUGCGGAACAGGGUCCGUUUAUUUUGGUUUAAUCAAGUGCAUCAAGCUCGCUAGAGGACAUGGACGUUAAUUACCUAUACUUGGCUAACUUCCUAUAUCUUCUAAUUGCUCUCGACUUGUGGACCAGACUUAGCUGGCUAGCUAGUUAGAUGAGCUUCCCUUAAAUUGCGUUUGUGGCAAAAUAAUUACUUAUAUUUAUGGCUUGAAAAAAAAGAUAAGGAAGUCUGGCAGAGAGGAGAGCUGAAGCUGAACUGACAUGACCCCAGUAAAAGAGAUGUUAUCCUACUCGCCCACUGCUGGGGAUCACCCUUAGUAUGGCAGAUGACCGCUCCACGUGGCCAGUUUUGGAGUUAAGACUGAGUGUAGCUGUCAACGCAGUUCCCAUGGACUGUGUCCUUAACACACACCCUCCUUCUGCAACGCUAGAACCCAACAUAAACACCUCCCUGCCAUCAGAACCAACCAUAAACAUCUUGUCAGGUCAUUCUGCUUCCCACAGAAGAAGCCCAAAAGUGAGUCCCAUUGCCAGGCCAUUGACAGCUAGACCAAUACCCACACUGGACAGCAGACGUGGUGGAGACCCAAAAUGUUGGCAGUGUCACUGCUACCAUGGCCAUAAUGUCUGGAUUUAAGAUGAGGAAGGUGGAGGCACAAUGUGGUGGUUUAAUAAAUGUUCAAAUUUCUAAUUAUUUAGAGUUGAUCAACUGUUGAUUAAGUGUCAAAUGAAAAAGGGAAAAGGUUAGAUCUAGGAAUAUCCUCACUCUGUCUACCUAGCUUCUUGACAAUCUAUGUUCUUAAUUCCGAGGUUGUUUUCAGGAAGGUGAAACAAUCAAGUGAGUUUCUCCCUAUAAAAUGUGAAUUAUACAAGUCCA